AAGUAUGCUAUUGAUCAAUCUAAGCCCCUGGAAGUGCUGUGCUUUACUUCCAUUGUGUGAUUCAACUGUCCUGUUGUUUGUACCAUGAACAAAUCUCACGUGCAAGCUUGAGGAUUGAGUUGGUGAUUUGCGAUCAUUUUUUGGUGAAAUGUUGCUGGCGGGAAUUAGAGUCUGCUCCUCCAUGGCUAAUGGAAAUCAGGGUGAUCCUUGUUUUUGGAGCUCAUACGCCGGAUACUGUUAUUUCCCGCAAACAAUCAAGAACAUAUGGUGAUCAAGCAGCUUGUUGCAGUAUGUCUGAGUUUAAUUGCUAACAUGUCAACCAGAAGAGGCAUUGCCUUAUAAGCUUACUGGUGUUAAGCUAUUGCCUGUAUUUAUGAUGGUGUCAUUUCCUUUUGCAGGCUCAGGAAGCUGGGUUGAUUUGUAAUCUAUGUGUACGCAGAGCUUCUAAGUCUGUUCCUGGAUUUGAGGAUUUAUGAUUUAAUGAAAUGUUCUCUUUGGAAUCUUACAUAAUGUAUGCCACUCUGUAAAUGGAUGCUUGUGGAAGUGCAAAUAAAUGCAGGCCAAUUCUCUGCUGGAUGACCUAAGGUUCCUGGGAAGUUCUUUCCACUCGGUCUAGUUUCUGCUAUUUGGUGAACCGGAGAAGGAAUGCUCAUGUAGACUUCUCUUCACAGCAAGAACUGGCAAAAGGAGAGCAAAAUACACAAGAAUGAAUAGGAGAACAAUUCUUUAUGGUAUAAAUAGUUAAAAUUGCAAGGAUUCUAUGCCUCAGUUAGGUCAUGCCAGCAAAUCCUCAGUUGGGGCAUGCCUUUUUGAUAAAGAAACAUCCAUCGUAUUUAGCAUUUGCCAUUCUUUAUAGGAAGAGAAACGGAGUACUUUAGAUUGGUCCUUAAAAUGCCUUUUCUAAGAGAACUGACCUACAUAUCAUCAAUUUUGGUUACUUAUCCCCUUCAUUAUUUGGUGAGGCAUGUUUCCUAUUUUAAGUGUAUCUCAUGUCAUUCAUCUAAGUUAUAGCUGCAUUCUUCAAUUUUGGCAGGAUUGUAAUAGUCUAUUCCUGUAUAAUAACGUAUGUCAAGCUGAACAAUGUCUUGCAGUCAUUGAGAAAAGAUUUUCACUUUUUGUA